rnacentral:rRNA from 1 species
GGUUGCGAUCAUACCAGUACUAAUGCACCGGAUCCCAUCAGAACUCCGCAGUUAAGCGUGCUUGGGCGAGAGUAGUACUAGGAUGGGUGACCCCCUGGGAAGUCCUCGUGUUGCAACCC